rnacentral:misc_RNA from 1 species
UUGUUUGACUUUCACAAAACUGAAAACGUCCACUCAGAUGUUAAGAAGCUAGUGCUAGUGCUUCACCUGCCUUGUCAGAGAAUCCGCAAAUGAUAUUUUAUUCGUUUUAAUGAUGAUUUGUCAUUUGCAUUUGCUUGGGUGUUGUUUUGUUCAUUUGCUUUUGGUGGAUGGCGUCAACUAUGAUGCAACUACUCGGCAAAGAGGUUGAUACCUCUGCAUAGAAAAACCUACCAUACAAAUGGGUUCUAACAAAGAAGUUCCUGCAUGUAAAGAAAUGGUACUAGUGAGGGGUUUUGGGCCAUUCGGUGUUCACAAAAUCAACUCCAGCAUGGAAACUGUGAAGUUAUUACCCAGUCUAGAUUUAGAACGAGAGCUCGGAAUCCAAUUAGUUACGAAAGAGAUACCAGUUGAAUACGGUUACGUGAAAACUCAGAUUCCUCAGUUAUGGGAAUUGUAUAAACCAAAGCUGGCUGUUUGUGUUGGAGUCUCAGGAAUGGGCUGUGUGCCAGAAGGUGGUGUUUGUGUUGAAGGUUGCCCAGAUCAACUAGAAUCUGCCAUUGAUAUGAGAAAAAUUGGUCAAAAUAACUAGAGCUGCCUUUGAAACAAAUCUGGUCACGGUGGCGGACAAGGUGGACCGAAAACCCGUGGUCGUUACUUCGCCGGUGGUUUCAACCAGCGUUGGACCAGCAGUACGACUCAACAACUCCAUUACUGUGAAGUUUGCAAAAUUUCUUGUGCAAGUCCUCAGACUUACAAAGACCAUUUGGAUGGUGAAAAGCAGAA